rnacentral:misc_RNA from 1 species
AAAGCAUUUCCUUGUAAACAAGUGCAUUCACUCAUGAUGAUGAUAAUGAAGACAAUGGAGCUUUAAAACCCAAAUCUCAGAUUUUUUUUUUCAUUGUAGACAAGAAAUGAUAAAAGAGCUGAAUGGAAUGGCAGAAUCUGAAGCCACACAGAUAGGUCUGGACAUUUUCAGUGAAUUUCUGGAGGUUGCCAUUCACAGUAUUCUGUAUAACAGGGAACUAUAUCCUGCUGGUGUGUUUGAAAGGAGAAAAAAAUACAAUGUCCCUGUACAAAUAUGUGUUCAUCCCGAGGUUAAUCAGUACAUCACACAGUUACUAAAAUGUGAUGCCAUUUAAUGCCCUGAAGUGAAGCAUCCAGUUUAUUGACAUCUUUACAUCCUAAAGUGAAAUUGGUGUAAGCUACAACAUAGAUAUAUAAUAUAUUUCGGUUGGACUCGGUGAAUUAGAAUAAAAUGAUUUUCUUUUGUGGAAACGCCAAUAAGAGAUAGGGGCGGGACUUAAGGUUUUGUAGGUAAGUCGUGUUCGAUAUGUAUUCAUUCUGGCGUUCAAACUUUGCACGAGAAAGUUUAAAGUGUAUGAUUGUGGUAAUCAGUACUUGAUAAGGUUCUUAUUGAGUAUACCGGUAUUAUGGUAAUGUGCUCUUGAGCAUAUAUGACUAGCUGCUUGUCAAAUGAAAACUUCAGAAGUUUUCAGAUAUGGUUGAUGUUGAAUAUUGCAGAAUAUUGAUGUUGAAUAUUGCAGAUUGUGUGGGAGUGACUUUCUGGAAUGCAAGAACGCAAAUGCAAAAAAUAAAUACAUUUUGUAUUGUAUUUUGUUUUUGGUGUUUAUUGCUCUUGUUAAGUGCAAGUACAAAAGAAUAUUACUCUAUGAAACUAUUACAUCUGAAAUAUUUUAUUGCUCAUAUUUUGCUUUCUUCCUAGGUUGUAAAUGGAAUAUCAGAGUUCAACUCAAGUAAUCAGCUUGAAAAAGUUGCUCUAGUAGUUUGCAAUAAGGAAUUACAGCCAUUAGAAAAGUUCAUUCUGGAGAUCAAUAAGCCAGAUAUGGCUCAAACCCAGACAGACAGAUAUCUUUACCAGCUGGAGCAGUCGUUGAGGUCAUUUCUUUUGAAGAUAAACAUGGCUGACUCCCUCCUUACACCCCUCCCCGCAGACUGCACAUGGACAGUUCAUGCCACCACCAGUGAGUCCGCAGCUGCCAAGAGGUUUGACACAAACUUAGAGAACAAUUUCCCCUGGCUAGAGGCCUCUGAAAAAGAGACAACUAUGGACAAUGCCUCCAUACUUCCCUUGAAAUCAACGACUUCUCCCUACAUCAACAUGCAGAUGUAUGUGGAGGAAUCCAAAGAGUGUAAAGACAGCUGAUGCCUGGGAAGCACUUUUAUAUAAUAUAUUUUGAAAUGACAGAGAGAUCUCUGAAUUUUAUGUUGUGUUCAAAGAGGGGAAAAUGCCUCAAGUGCCUGAGAAUGAAUGUAUUAGGUAUAUAUCAGGAAAAAUAUAUCCUGGUUCCAUACUUUUAUAUCAUAAGUGAUGAAAUUAGAAAUGAAAAUUAAUGUUUUUGUACUUGAUUUACUGAAUUGUUCACCAGAGCUAACUUGGUUUAAUUAUUAUUGUCAGUCAGUGCAGCAAUAAUCAUUAGACAAGUUCAUAUCCUAUUUUAUUCUGAUUUCAUUUUCAAAGUUCCAUUUCCUGUUGUGCAUGUUUGCUAUGACGUUUAUGAUGUCAAUUAUAUUCUGUGACUGUC